UUUUUUAUGAUGAAAAAAACAAAAACUGAUGCAAUUUGAUGACAGUUUAUUAUUUCACCAAGAUCUCUGAAAAA
rfam:Plasmodium ovale wallikeri genome assembly, contig: contig156